AACAAAACAAAAAAAACAAAAACAAAUGAAGAGAUAUGGGCAAAGUGUGCCUUAACCAGAGAGAGGACAUGGGAGGGGAGGAGUGUCUUGGUUGAGGCAGGCUAGGGAGAGGUACUUCAGGAGUGGCUCACAGGUUGUGGACCUGGGGUAGGGUAACAUUGAAAAAUUCUCUCUAUCCUAGGGCUAUAGUUUGCCAGUGGUUGUCAUGAUAACAGUUCAGGGAAAGAAAAAUUGACUUAGAAGGAAUGAACAAUUUGAGGCAUUUUAAGACAUGACCCAUUUUUCACUCACUCCAGACUGACCCUAGAGAUGUACCACUCCAUUCUAGAGAGAACAAGAAGAGUUGUACUAACAUUUCCCUUUAUCUUUCUCCUUCUGGCUUUUGAGGUAGAAACAGGUCAUUGAUUUUAAAUCUUUCUUCCAUACACACACACACAUACACACCACAAACACACACACACAUAAACAUGCAUAUAUGUAUAUUUUAAUGUAUAUAGAUUAUGUGUAUAUACAUCACACAUAUAGAGAAAGAUUUAAAGAUAUGAUUUUUCCUCUCACUGCUUUAGCUGUACCUCAUAAUUUUAGAUAUACUGUGUAUUACUAUCAUUCACUUUGAAACUGUUCUAAUUUCUCUUGUGAUUAAUUCUUUUACCUUGUGUGAUAUUUAGAAGUAUAUUAUUUAAUUUCCAACUAUUUCGGGUGUCAUAUUGGUAUCAUGUUGUGACUGAUUUCAAUAUUGUCUUGUUAUUGAUUCCACUGUGAUCAAAGAACAUGCUCUAUAUGGUCUCAGUUCUUAUAAAUUUAUUGAGACUUUUUUUAUGGCCUAUCAUAUACUUGAUUUUAAUGAAUGCAUCCUAUGUAUGUGAAGAGGAUGUGUAUUCUAUAGUUGUUUCCUUUAAAAAUAGCAACAAUAUGCAUGGUACAGUGGUACAUUGCCUGUAAUCCUGGAUAUUCUAGACACUGAGGCAUAUUGCAAGUUUGAGGCCAACCGGGGCAAUUUA
rnacentral:lncRNA from 1 species